GGAACAAGGCCAGCCUGUUGGUUGGUUGAGGGUACUUGCAGAAGAAGCGCCGGCUAACUACGUGCCAGCAGCCGCGGUAAUACGUAGGGCGCAAGCGUUAUCCGGAAUUAUUGGGCGUAAAGAGCUCGUAGGCGGUUUGUCGCGUCUGCCGUGAAAGUCCGGGGCUCAACUCCGGAUCUGCGGUGGGUACGGGCAGACUAGAGUGAUGUAGGGGAGACUGGAAUUCCUGGUGUAGCGGUGAAAUGCGCAGAUAUCAGGAGGAACACCGAUGGCGAAGGCAGGUCUCUGGGCAUUAACUGACGCUGAGGAGCGAAAGCAUGGGGAGCGAACAGGAUUAGAUACCCUGGUAGUCCAUGCCGUAAACGUUGGGCACUAGGUGUGGGGGACAUUCCACGUUUUCCGCGCCGUAGCUAACGCAUUAAGUGCCCCGCCUGGGGAGUACGGCCGCAAGGCUAAAACUCAAAGGAAUUGACGGGGGCCCGCACAAGCGGCGGAGCAUGCGGAUUAAUUCGAUGCAACGCGAAGAACCUUACCAAGGCUUGACAUGAACCGGAAAGACCUGGAAACAGGUGCCCCGCUUGCGGUCGGUUUACAGGU
rnacentral:rRNA from 1 species